rnacentral:rRNA from 3 species
GGGCGGUUCGCCGCCCGUGACUCUGCGAGAAGUCCAUUGAACCUUAUCAUUUAGAGGAAGGAGAAGUCGUAACAAGGUUUCCGUAGGUGAACCUGCGGAAGGAUCAUUG